AGAAGGACAAAUCAGUUUGAUUCUAAAUUGGAAGGAACGCUGCAUUUCAGGAAUUGGAUGAGCAGUUUUCCUUUUAAGUCAGCACGUCUUUAUUUCUGCUGACACUGUUUCCAGCAUGUGGGGAUUAGAACUGGGAAAACCAGCACAAGACCAUCACUGCUGACAUCGUAGACAGACAUCACCACAGGUUCUCUUGGCUCAUUGCUCAGGUGACAUCCUGAACUGCCUUUGAAUUCCACAGACUCCUCACCAGCAAGAAAACUCUGAAGAGUACUAAAGAAUGGUCACAUUCACUUCUCAGUUGCUCUCUGGAAUACACAAACUGUGUCAGAGUUGGCCUCCAUGGCACGGAGAUGACAGGCCAGUAUGUUCACGUCAUGAGUUGUGGGCUCAAACUGGCCUCUAUCUUCUGCAGCAACUCACAGAAUGAGUGAGUUGUUCCUGUGCCUGAGCCCAGGAAUGCCUGAGUGGGACCCUGGUUUAAGUGGUCUGGAAAAAUCUCACAUGGGAAUCUGUCAACCACUAUCAAUUACCCCCAAAUA